rnacentral:rRNA from 1 species
AGUGAACGCUGGCGGUAGGCCUAACACAUGCAAGUCGAACGGCAGCACAGUAAGAGCUUGCUCUUACGGGUGGCGAGUGGCGGACGGGUGAGGAAUACAUCGGAAUCUACUUUUUCGUGGGGGAUAACGUAGGGAAACUUACGCUAAUACCGCAUACGACCUACGGGUGAAAGCAGGGGAUCUUCGGACCUUGCGCGAUUGAAUGAGCCGAUGUCGGAUUAGCUAGUUGGCGGGGUAAAGGCCCACCAAGGCGACGAUCCGUAGCUGGUCUGAGAGGAUGAUCAGCCAAACUGGAACUGAGACAAGGGCCAGACUCCUACGGGAGGCAGCAGUGGGGAAUAUUGGACAAAGGGCGCAAGCCUGAUCCAGCCAUACCGCGUGGGUGAAGAAGGCCUUCGGGUUGUAAAGCCCUUUUGUUGGGAAAGAAAAGCAGCAGGUUAAUACCCCGCUGUUCUGACGGUACCCAAAGAAUAAGCACCGGCUAACUUCGUG